UCGCGAGCUCGGAGCGGCUCUGCCCAGCUGCGCUGCGUGAUUUCACCGGACAGUAAACAGUCAUGGCCGCGCUGCGCAGGUUCUUCCUCUCCGGCUCCAGAAGCUUCGCGGCAGGGACACCGACACCAUCCUCCCGGGCCACCGGAGCGCUGAGAGCUGUCGCAGCGGGAGUGUGCGUCUCCGCCGCGGCCGGGGCCGCUUACUACUACUACCGCAGCGGCGGAGGCUCGUUCGUGGCUCGGCGGUCCGGACUGAAGAGCCACGUCGAGGCUCGGCUCGUGCACCUGGUUCUGCCGUCGGUCUCCGCCACCGAUAAGGUGAGGACCUACGAUCUAGAUGACCGAGAUGUUUACAUGUCAUCCUAUGAAAACAGGUUCCGUCUCUUCAGUUCAGUGGAGUACGAAGGCCAGCUCUAUAUGACACCGCUGAACUUCAUCGAGUCUGUCACUCUGAACGAACCAAGAAGUAAGAGAGGAUGGAAGUCCUUCACCAAAAAGGAAUUAGAGAAGAUGCUGCGCGAUACCCCUCCUGUUUGGAAAGGAUCAUCUAAUUUGUUCAGAAAUCUCCGAGAACGAGGUGUCAUCAGUUACACAGAGUACCUCUUCCUGCUCUGCAUUUUAACAAAGCCUCAUGCAGGCUUCCGGAUCGCUUUCAACAUGUUUGAUGCAGACGGGAAUGAAAUGGUGGACAAACGGGAGUUCUUGGUGCUGGAAGAAAUCUUUAGAAAGAAAAAGGACAGAAAAGAAGUUGCAGAGGACGUUGAAAGACUGGACCAACACAGCCUGCAGCUUUACGGCCAGCGCAGAUCCCAGCCUCACAUUGUUCGUAAAGACGACAGUCGGCAUGCGGCGACGCCGGGCAUGUGGGGUGUUCUGAGACGUGGCACGGGUCGAGUUCUGUUUUCUGACCUCGCUGAGCAGGUGGACGAGAAAGCAGAAACAACACUUCUGGUGCAUUUCUUUGGGAAAAAGGGAAAAGCCGAGUUAAAGUUUGAGGAUUUUUACAAGUUCAUGGACAACCUGCAGACUGAGUUACUUGAGAUCGAGUUCCUCUCCUACUCAAAAGGCAUGCCAACCAUCAGUGAGGAAGACUUUGCUCGCAUUCUUCUUCGCUACACAAACGUGGACGACGUUGGCGGGUAUAUGGAGAACGUUCGUCACAGCAUACCAGAUGAAAAGGGGAUCACCUUUGAGGAGUUCAGAUCCUUCUUUCAGUUCCUGAACAACCUGGAGGACUUCGCCAUCGCCAUGAAAAUGUACAACUUUGCCCACCGCUCUGUUGGUCAAGAGGAGUUCACCCGAGCGGUCCACGUGGCCACGGGCAUCACGCUGAGCCGCCACUUGGUCAACACCGUCUUCAAGAUCUUUGACGAGGAUCACGACGGUAAACUGAGCCACAGAGAGUUUGUCGGAGUCAUGAAGGACCGUCUGCACCGUGGAGGCGGGGGCGCUCGAGGGGAGGAGAAAUUCGUCUCUUUCAAGUCCUGCAUGAAGAAGGAGUUGUCAAGCAAAUAGGUACAAGUUCUCUCCUCUGUCUGCUUCAGGUUUGUGACACAAGGAACAAGAAUCAAAUUCAAACGCCUAAAGACGAGGAUAAGGAGGUUUCCCCCGAGGGAGCGCUAGUGUGAGGCCCGAGCUCUUCUCCCCUGAAGCAUUGAGUUACGCUGUAAUAUUAACGCCUGAACAGCUGCCACCGGAUACCGGCUUAGGUGUGCACACAUGAGCAGCGAGCGGCGCGGCUCUAAAGCUGUAUAAGUGUUUCAAAGAGAGGGCACCUCCGAGGGGAGGGAUUAAUAAUCUUACUCUUUAGAGAAGCACACUGGCUAAAGGUUUAAUCUGUGUGUUUUUAACCAGAAACAUUAUUUAGGCUUCCAACAUUUAAAUCUGAUUACUUUUAGAUGUGAGUUAGUUAAUUAAUUGAAAUGGCGACGCGAGGGCGUUUAUUACAGUCCUUUUUUUAACCGUUUAUCUUUUAAGUUUUAACAUGCAUAAAAUAUCACUUUUAUUUAAUGUUUGUAUGUUUUUUUUUACCUUUUAAUGCUUAAAAAACUGUUUCUACUCUUAAAUGUUUUUAAGUCAUUUAAAUAAUUAAGUUGAUCAGAAUUGUUUCAUGUGUAUUUCAUUUAAAGUCUCAUUUUUUAUUCAUUACACACCUUUUAGAUUAGAUUAGAUUAGAUAUCCUUUAUUGUCAUUAAAUGAUUGCACAUUCAACGAAAUUUCCUAGAGCUCCACAUUAGGCAUCCGCUAAAAAUACUAAGCAAAAUAGCUAAAACAAGUACAAUAUGCACCAUGCAAUAAAAAACAAAAACAUUACAAAAUACAAUAAAUAAUAUCAAUAGGGUUGAUUUUUCUGUCCAUUCAGGGUUCUAAUAGCCCAGGGAAAGAAACUCUUCCUCAGUCUGUCGGUCCUGCAGCUGAGGGAUCUGAACCUUUUCCCAGAGGGCAGCAUGGCAAAAAGGUAGUGGUUUGGGUGGUAAAUGUCCCUGGAGAUGGUCCUUGCUCUAGUGAGACACCUCUGCAGGGCGAUAGUGUCCAAGGAGGGAAGGGUGCAUCCAAUCACCUUUUCCGCCGCUCUAAUGACCCUCUGGUAUCUGUUUUUAUCAGCUACUGUGCACCCCGCGUACCACACAGGGAUAGCGUAAGUCAUCACGCUCUCAAUGACUGCUCGAUAAAAAGACACCAAGAGGUUGGUCUGCAGCCUGUUCCACUUCAGGACUCUCAAGAAGUGCAGCCGCUGUUGUGCUUUUUUGACCAAGGCAGUGGUAUUGAUUGUCCAUGACAGAUCCUCAGAGAUGUAAAUCCCGAGAAACUUAAAGGAGGGAACUCUCUCCACCUCAGCUCCUUUAAUGCAGAGAGGGCGGGGGGCAUCCUUACUCCUUCGGAAGUCAAUAACCAUCUCCUUGGUCUUGGUUAGACGGCGGGAUGCCAAAUUUACGGCAGUCCCGUUGAUCCUCAUGGUUUUCCUGUAUAAAUUUGUGGUAGUCAUGAUAAAAACAAACCUUCACGUCCCGCUCUAGGCAGCACAUCAAGCCUUAAAGCUGAUCGUUUUCACUUGAACUAAAUGGUCAAAUAAGCCUAAAUACAGUAACUGGUGUGAGGAAGUGGAUGAGAAGCGUUAAAUAAAACUAGUGCAUGUUAAAAAACAAGAACAAAUCUUCAUUUUCAUAUUUUAAGUUUGAUGUUUAGAACUUUUUAGAGAAUCAUAACCCGUUCAACAUUUUUAUUCUAUUCUAUUCAUGUUGUUUAUUUUUUUCCUUCCUAUAAUAAAACCCAGUGAAACUUCCACAUGUCCUCCGUUACCUUAGAGCUCCAAUAGAUCUGUGUUUGAACUUGUUUACACGUUUUUCUGAUUCACUUGGCAGAAAGGUUCAGAGUCCCCUCUCGUUCCAAACAAGCUGACAGAUUUUGAACCUGAUUGUUCAGUUUUCAUGCUGCAGGUGAAGAUCCCGGCGCCGCUGCACGUUCUACUGUCUGGAUCAGCUGUGCCUUCACCCUUCUCCAUGCCCGAUGGGUUCAUGCAUGCUGCAGCAUCUCCGACCACGGGAGGAAACGGGCAGAACGACCAGAUGCUGAGAUGGAAAACGACUUCAAAGGGUCAAAGAAAACCCGCCUGCUCAGUUUUACUGAACUCUACUUGCACUAAAUAGAGUUGACAUGAUUAUUUGUAGGGGAGGGUGUUUAUUUAUUUAUUUAUUUCUGUUCUUGCUCGUGCAGAUGUAUCCUGGUGAGGAAGAUUCAUGCAUUGUCCUAUAGCUGUUUAUUCCCUACCCUGCAGGCUUGCAUUUGUCCGAUUUUCCUGGUUCUGGUUCUGUUCAGGAGAAUUCUCUCCUUUGUCCUUUAGUGGGUUCUGCAGCCCCCUGCUCAGAUCAACAUGCAACAGCACCCCACCCCUCCUCCCGUUCCCUCCGGUUCGCUGCAGCUGAGCUCGUCCAGGACCAGCGGGCCUGAACCCACUCGGUCUGACUGUGGGUGUCUCACUGUUUAACCACAGGCAGCUGACAGCGUUAAUCAUUUCUGACCUCUUUACAAAUAAAUGUGCAGAAAUACUGAAGCCAUAAGCGAAGACUCGGCUCGGAGAAUCUCUGGUUGUGAAGAAACGGCUGUAAAGUGAUCUCUAACAGGAACUCCGGUUAUUCUGGGUUAUUUAUUCUUUAUUGUUCUAUUAGAUCAGACUGGGACUGUUACACUUGCUUUGAGUUAUGAAAAUGUGGUUUAAUAAAGGUCAAGUAUUUGGA